rnacentral:lncRNA from 1 species
UGUAUUCUGCUAUGUCUACUGGGAGAAUACACUAGUGGGGAUAGUUCUGUGUAUACAGUGAUUAAGCACAUAGGUUCUGGAGCCAGUCUGUUUCUUUCAAAAUCACCUCAUUGCUUUUGAAGAAUCAGGGAAACCCCCAUGAGACUACAGGUGUGAAGCAAGAUAGAAGCAUCAGUGCAAAAGAGUUCCUCUAAUCUGAUGGGACACUCCCGCAAUGAUGCUUCAGCUGUAUUUUAACCUCAAGAAACCCUAAGAUCCCUCACUCCUAUGCUGCUGUCAACGGGAGGCUAAGAAGCACAGAGAAAUAGGCCAUACAAAGUCUACCUCUCUGAACACUCUGAUUCUCUUACUGAGAUACCUUGGAACAUGGUUUGAAUAAUAUUGCUCUAACUUCUUUCAUGUCAGGAAGCUCUGAGUUGCCAUAGACUUGCGGAAAUGCCUGCUACAUACAUGCGUGUUGAACAAUGAACUUCAUAACUGACAUAUUUAUCAGAGAAUCAGGAUGAGAGAAGAUGCAGAAACACAGAAAGGAAGAGGAUUAGCAACUUUCCCAGAUCUGAGUUGAGCUGAGAUUUGAGUCAAGGCAAUAUUGCUUCUGGGGCUGUAACAACUACAUUUUAUUGUCUCCUGAACAGAUACUUCCUUUUCUUACUUAAUAAGAAUAGACCUUGGAGGUCUGGACCUGGACAUGAACGUACACUUUUCUAAAGAAGAUAUACACAUGGCCAACAAGCAUGUGAAAAAAAGCUCAAUAUCACUGAUCAUUAGAGAAAUGCAAAUGAAAAUCACAAUGAGAGACCAUCUCACACCAGUCAGAAUGGCUAUUAUUAAAAACUCAAAAAAUAACAGAUGCUGGCGAGGUUGCAGAGAAAAGGGAACACUUAUACACUGUUGGUGGGAGUGUAAAUUAGUUCAACUAUUGUGUAAAGCAAUAUGUCAAUUCCUCAAAGAGCUAAAAAAGAACUACCAUUGGACUCAGCAAUCCCAUUACUGGGUAUAUACUCAGAGGAAUAUAAGUCACUCUACUAUAAACACACACGCAUGCAAAUUUUCAUUGUAGCACUAUUUACAAUAGCAAAGACAUGGAAUCAACCUAAAUGCUCAUCAAUGACAGAUCGGAUAAAGAAAAUAUGCAUCUUCAACCUUUCUGGACUACAGCACCUGCCAACUGACCCCCACAUCAUGGCUCCAACGCUGGCUUCAUCACAUAUCUUCUCUCUCAGUCCCUUUGGCUCUCAGGGUGCAAUAGCUUAACAAAAUUGCUGAUCUAGGUGCCUCAGCAUUGUUUCUUUGUCAUAGUCUCUGUAUUAUCUUAUUUUGAGCCAUUCUUUUCCUGCAAAGAUCCUAACUGAAUGAGAUAACUACUUCAUAAGCUAUUUGUAAGGUUUAAAUAAAUUAAUGCAUAUUUAAUACAUGAA